rnacentral:rRNA from 1 species
CCUACGGGAGGCAGCAGUGAGGAAUAUUGGUCAAUGGACGAGAGUCUGAACCAGCCAAGUAGCGUGAAGGAUGACUGCCCUAUGGGUUGUAAACUUCUUUUAUAAAGGAAUAAAACGAGGCACGUGUGCCUUUUUGCAUGGACUUUAUGAAUAAGGAUCGGCUAACUCCGUGCCAGCAGCCGCGGUAAUACGGAGGAUCCGAGCGUUAUCCGGAUUUAUUGGGUUUAAAGGGAGCGUAGAUGGGUUGUUAAGUCAGUUGUGAAAGUUUGCGGCUCAACCGUAAAAUUGCAAUUGAUACUGGAAGUCUUGAGUACAGUUGAGGUAGGUGGAAUUCGUGGUGUAGCGGUGAAAUGCGUAGAGAUCACGAAGAACCCCGAUUGCGAAGGCAGCUUACUAAACUGUGACUGACAUUGAUGCUCGAAAGUGUGGGUAUCAAACAGGAUUAGAUACCCCUGUAGUC